rnacentral:lncRNA from 1 species
GUGCAGCUUGUGAGGAAGCCAUUGGUGGUCAUCUUUAACAGCUCAGUUCCCCAGAGAAGCUCCCUGGAAACCGGGAGGCUGACUUCUUCACCAACUGCAGAACCACCUGAGGCCACCUGGCAGAGCCCUGAGUGCCUUGCCUGGCUGUAAGAGGAAUACUUUCAUCACCAAGCCUAGGAGAAUGCCUUUGUCCAUCGAGGGUCCCCAUUGGGGUUAACUGGAGCCCUUGCAGAUCAAGGCUGCCUCUGCCUUCUGUGUUCCUGGCUGUGCAGUUGUCCAUAACAGUCACCACCCUAACCAGUGAUCCAGUUCUCACUCCCUCCUCCAGAGCAAGAUAAUAGACUCAGAUGAAGAAAUUCUGAUUCUGAGCCCGAGAAUCUGAGACAGACUCAGAUCUAAAUCUUUUUAAAGUCUUCAAGGAGUUUAUGAUGCCCAGUGAGCUGGCUCAGAAGAAGAAUUUAUUUCAGGAAUGCCAAGAAUUUCUCAUGCUUGGUGGUAGGACAUUCCUUGAUAAUUUAGCCAGGUGGGAAGUUGUCAAAGAACUGCCAAACCCAUAAGGAUUCUUGUAGCUCACAGCCAGGGGACGACCUUAUAUUUUGAAUUUAAGAUUAAGGGGAAAAAAGAAACACAAAAAACAUAUACAGUACAUUCUUGUUGUGGUAGAGCACAAAGUAAUUAAGUAUACAGAGAAAAACAUGAAAGUCUUUUCUGUUACAAAUUCCCUCUGUCCAACGAUUCAGGUCCAGUUCCCUCGGCUUGGUAGGUUCUGCCUGUUCCACAUCUAUGCAUUCCCCAUCUAUCUAAUGUAUAUUCAGAGACAAAUGUAUAUACAUGAGAUCAAAUAAUAGAUAUUUUGAAGAUUUGCUUUCAUUCAUGUUUACCUCAGUCAUAACAUUAAAUCUUGGCUGGGUGCAGUGGCUCAUGCCUGUAAUCCCAGCUCUUAGGGAGGCAGAGGUGGGAGGAUAGCUUCAGCUCAGGAGUUCGAGACCUGACUGGACAAUAUAGCAAGACUCUGAUCUCCACAAAAAGGAAAGAAAAAAGUAUAAAAAAUAAAAUAAAAAUAAUAAAUAAAUAAAAAUAAGCAAAAGUUUAUACACUUAAAUUAUGCUUCAUAAUGCAUAUUUUAGUCUUUCAUUUUUCCUAGAAAUUAUUUAUGUACCUAGCAAAUAUCCAUCAAUUAAAUGAGUACAAGGUUUUAAGUUAUCUAAAGAUCUUUGAAAUCUAAAGUGGACAUACCAUGAAAGAUAACUUUUUUUUUUUUUUUUGAGAUGGAGUUUCGCUCUGUUGCCCAGGCUUGGAGUGCAGUGGCACAAUCUCGGCUCACUGCAACCUCUGCCUCCCAGGUUCAAGCGAUUCUCCUGUCUCAGCCUCCGAAGUAGCUGGGACUACAGGCCCACACCAUCACAUCCGGCAAAUUUUCAUGUUUUUAGCAAAGAUGGAAUUUCAUUAUAUUGAUCAUGCUGGUCUCGAACUCCUGACCUCAGGUGACCCACCCACCUCGCCCUCCCAUAGUGCUGGGAUUACAGGUGUGAGCAACCUCGCCCAGCCAAAAGAUAACUUUUGGAAUAAAAUUCACCAGUGCAAUAUAUCAAUUUUGUUAAACACAGAUUGACAUUUACAUAUUUAAACAUUAUGUAAAAGCAAUGCUAGCUUAUUUUAUCAGUAAAUAUGUAUAAGUUCAGGAAAAAAAUAUAUAAGCAGAAUAAAAAUGCAUGCUUGCAUUAUACAAUAAGAUGGGUGUACAUUUCCAGAGUUCUUGUAUUCAUACACUGUAUAAGAAGAUGACAAACAAUUUUGCAAUGAAAAAUCUUGUCCAUA